rnacentral:misc_RNA from 1 species
ACCUUCUUAAAAGUCAAUGUCAAAAUUGUCACUCUUCUCUUGUGUCAAAUCCAUGUGAAGCACAGACCUAUUGAUGUGAAGGCGGUGUGUAAGUGUGUAGUGUGUACCAAAGAAACCAAAGUGUGUAAUCUGUAUAAAUUAUUAAAAUAAGUGAUCAAGUGUUUGAAAGUGAAUACUUAUACAAUAACCAAUAACUAUUUAUUUGACGAAGAUUUAAUAAUAAAUAUGGGUGACUUUACUCCGGUAACACAUGUACUUUUUGACAUGGACGGACUUAUACUUAAUACUGAGGACUUAUACACAGUAGCGUUUCAGAAUAUUGUGUCAAAGUUUGGUAAAAAUUAUACCUACGAACUAAAAAUAAGCCUGAUGGGAUCACAAAUGCAUGAAACUGCUGACAUGAUCAUUGAAAACUUAGACCUUCCAAUGACUCGGGAUGAAUUGAUUGAUGCAAGUAAAAAGGAAUUUGCUGCUUUGUUUCCAGAUACUGAGGUUUUACCAGGUGUUAAAAGGUUGAUUCAGCAUCUACAUAACAACAAUAUCCCUAUUGGAUUGGCCACAAGUUCAAGUAAAGAAAGCUAUGAACUGAAAACCAACAAGCACCACCAGCAACUGUUCUCACUGUUUCCCUACAAAACAUUUGGCUCAUCUGAUCCAGAAGUUAAGAAAGGCAAACCAUACCCCGACAUCUUUCUUGUAGCAGCAUCAAGGUUCCCUGAUAAGCCAGCUCCAGAGCAGUGCUUAGUUUUUGAGGAUGCUGUUAAUGGCGUCAAGGCAGCCCGAGCAGCAGGAAUGCAAGUUGUAAUGGUGCCAGAUGUAAAGCUUGACAGAAGUUAUACCAAAGAAGCUACCCUUGUAUUAAACAGCAUGGAAGAAUUCAAGCCAGAACUCUUUGGCUUACCACCUUUUACAAAUUAAUACUAUGUGAGCUGUAGACAUUUGAUAAUUUAUGCUUAAAUACUUACUUUUGAUAAGUGAAAAACACUUACGGCCCAGCCACGACAUUGGUCUAAGCGCGGCAGCGGCGAGCGGCAGCCAUACGUGCGAAUGAAAAGUCCCAUCGCUGUGUCUCGCUUCAAUGUAUGGCCGCCGCUCGCCGCUGUCGCGCUUAGACCAAUGUCGUGGCUGAGCCGUUAGUCUUUAUUUCUGCAUUUUGAUUUAAUUCAUGGAUUGGUAAUAGUUAUUUGUUCAACUGUACAUACCAAUAUUGAUACCCAACCAACCAAUCAAAAGGUUCCAAUAUAGGUUCAAAAUGUCGCCCACGAAACACGUAGAUAUAUAUCUCUAUCGCUCUUGCGUAUUGGCGCGACAGAGCCAGACUACCUUUCGCGCCGUUUCGUUUUCGUUUGGCGUCGCAGAAAUGCCAUUCGGCUAUGGCACCUGAAGAUUAUAUCACUAAAAUAUAGCCGAAGUUCGGCAGAGCAUAAUUAUGUUAUUGCGUACCUGACAAAUCCCGACUGGUUUUGUUAAAGUACCCUCAUAGAGCUUGACAAAAAAAUUGGUUGUCUGUAAAGUCGGUUUACGGACGGUAGUUUAACGUGAUAACUGACGCGCGCAGCGCGCUGCGCAUCCACAACUUUCUACAAAAACGUCUGUAUCUUCUAAACUACACAAGGUAUAGU